UACCGCGAAACUGCGAAUGGCUCAUUAAAUCAGUUAUCGUUUAUUUGAUAGCACCUUACUACUUGGAUAACCGUGGUAAUUCUAGAGCUAAUACAUGCUGAAAAUCCCGACUUCGGAAGGGAUGUAUUUAUUAGAUUAAAAACCAAUGCCCUCCGGGGCUCACUGGUGAUUCAUGAUAACUUCUCGAAUCGCAUGGCCUUGCGCCGGCGAUGGUUCAUUCAAAUUUCUGCCCUAUCAACUUUCGACUGCUGGGUCUUGGCCAGCAAUGGUGACAACGGGUAACGGAGGGUUAGGGCUCGACCCCGGAGAAGGAGCCUGAGAAACGUGAGUUAUACUCCCCAACGCGAUAUUUUAUCUCUUAUAACAAGGUAACUAACAAUUCUAUUACAGGGCUACUACAUCCAAGGAAGGCAGCAGGCGCGCAAAUUACCCAAUCCCGACACGGGGAGGUAGUGACAAUAAAUACUGAUACAGGGCUCUUUUGGGUCUUGUAAUUGGAAUGAGUACAAUUUAAAUCCCUUAACGAGGAACAAUUGGAGGGCAAGUCUGGUGAAGAUGCUGGCGCCGGAGAUAGUAAGCCCGUUAAAUUACUAGUCGAGCAUUCGCCAUUGGCGGGAGAAUGCCGGCGAGACAACCCGGAUCGGGGGAGGUUACGGAGCUUAGGCUCUAUAUCAACCCCGGACAGAGCCGAAGUCUGCACGAUUUAGGCCUGUUUAGAGCGCGGAAGGGUGUCGGUCCUGCAUAUUCGGACGCGUAAAAGCGUCUGAUUCCAGGGCUUAAGGGACGUGCCAACCCCCUGCGAAAGCAGGUAUCGCCUCGGAGUGCCCGCCGCACGAUGGGACGAUAGGUAUCUCAGCGAGAGAGCCGUACUGUAAAAAUGGCCAGCAGCCGCGGUAAUUCCAGCUCCAAUAGCGUAUAUUAAAGU
rnacentral:rRNA from 1 species